rfam:Aspergillus fumigatus Af293 chromosome 4, whole genome shotgun sequence.
UGCCAUUGCUAAGUCAAGUCUUCUUCCUGCGACUUUGUGUCGUGCUUUUCUCCAUGGAAGUUUGUCUGUUACAGCUCUGGCAGAUUGACGCUGGCCCGUGCCGAAUUUCAUUCUGAAGCUAGGCUGACCAGUUUUCGUUUUGAAGACUGGUCGUAAAGGGCUAAGUUGUGUUCUGUUUGUGAGUUGAGUGCUGCUUCUGCCUUAUCGGCGGCUUCGUAGCAGUCCUCUUAGUAACAUUUCACACAUCU